GACGAACGCUGGCGGCGUGCUUAACACAUGCAAGUCGAACGGAAAGGCCCUGCUUUUGUGGGGUGCUCGAGUGGCGAACGGGUGAGUAACACGUGAGUAACCUGCCCUUGACUUUGGGAUAACUUCAGGAAACUGGGGCUAAUACCGGAUAGGAGCUCCUGCUGCAUGGUGGGGGUUGGAAAGUUUCGGCGGUUGGGGAUGGACUCGCGGCUUAUCAGCGUGUUGGUGGGGUAGUGGCUUACCAAGGCUUUGACGGGUAGCCGGCCUGAGAGGGUGACCGGCCACAUUGGGACUGAGAUACGGACCAGACUCCUACGGGAGGCAGCAGUGGGGAAUAUUGCACAAUGGGCGGAAGCCUGAUGCAGCAACGCCGCGUGCGGGAUGACGGCCUUCGGGUUGUAAACCGCUUUCGCCUGUGACGAAGCGUGAGUGACGGUAAUGGGUAAAGAAGCACCGGCUAACUACGUG
rnacentral:rRNA from 1 species